rnacentral:lncRNA from 1 species
AUUUAAUUGCAUGGGGAUGUCUGGAGUGAGAUGAGCUUACUCCUGGAAGGAGAUGGAUUGUGCAAAAUCAUCCGGCUGUACGACUUGUGGGUAGUGAUGUAUCAAAAACAAGGCAAUCGCAUAUGAAAGAUCACUCUUUCACCACUGCCUGUUAUUGUGCCUGAAUGUGCUGGCCCACUGCUGUGCUGCCAAUCUGAUUUGAAGAAUUUCAACUGCCUCAUUCAACCGCAAUACGUGAUUGUAAGUGCUUUGGUCCAGGGAAAGUCUCUCGUCUCCAGUUAAGGCUGUUUGCAACAGACUGUUUGUCAGCUGGAUUUCCAGAUGACAUUGCCAUAUGACAUCAUAAAGUGAUGAUUACCAGUGACUGAUGGGAUGAUUCCUGCUCCAUAUAUGCAACUAUAUGAAAAUGUAUGCACUGCCAUACAGAAAAUGAAUAACGCCUGUCCAUGUUCUGAUAAAGAGUGCACCUGGACUUCAGAUGGAAAUGCUUCAGGGUCAUGUGAGCUGAGUAGUUGCUGGGUGCUGGGGACUGUUUCCAGAGCUGCACAGUUCCAGAACUUUUCACACAGCUGA